GCCGCUCCCGCUCCCGCCGCUCCCGCUCCCGGGCCAGCCCCUGCCCGCAGGAGCGAUGCCACCUGCGCCCUGUCGGGUAACAGGCUCAGCGAAGUUCUCUGUUACGAUUUGUUAGCUCCCACCUUGAAGAUCCUGCCUGGAUUUGAAAACCCUUUGGAUGACUUGAUCUGAAAGCAUGUGCCUUGGGUGCGCAUGUUUUUCUCUGAAAAUAACAUUGAGGCUAUUUUACCUUUCCAGUCUCUCCCUGGGAAAGGGAAUCUAAAGACUCAAACAAACCUUCUCUCCAUGGUGCCUCCUCAACCCCAGCAGCAUCGUCAAUGCCUGACCUCAGUUCUUCCCAUGAAGCACACAAGAAAGAGCUUGGCUGUGAUAAAUGCUGGCAAGGUCUUCACAACAGGCUGGUGCCAUGGUUUACAGGCUCUGAGUGAGGCACAGAUGCUCAGUGAAGAUUGUGCAUGGCAGAGGCGCGUGCAGCCAUGUCAGAGCAAGUGUAUGAGAAACUUCCUGCCUUGCCCAUUUUGGUGUGUAACCACUUGUCCAGGCCACUUGUUUCUCAAUUAAACAAGGGAUUUGGCAGCUGGGUCUCUGUGUUCUCAGUGAUUUUUCCAGCCUACACUUAAUUUUUCCCAAGGUUGGGCAGGAGGAUAGAAGGAAGAAGUAGAGAAAGUUUUUUCAGAACUUUUAUUUUCAUUGAUGUACGAUAUGUAAAUUAUGAAGAACACUAGUGGGAAUAUAGUUCUUAAAAGUAAGUAGCAGUAUGACUUAAUACAGCCAAUCACCAAGAAAGAGAUGAUAGGGCAUCACUGUAGCGUCUGCUCUAAUGUUAUGAAGCUGGCAAUAAAAUGCAAUAUUUAGUAACAGCC